GACGAACGCUGGCGGCGUGCUUAACACAUGCAAGUCGAACGGAAAGGCCCUGCUUUUGUGGGGUGCUCGGGUGGCGAACGGGUGAGUAACACGUGAGUAACCUGCCCUUGACUUUGGGAUAACUUCAGGAAACUGGGGCUAAUACCGGAUAGGAGCUCCUGCUGCAUGGUGGGGGUUGGAAAGUUUCGGCGGUUGGGGAUGGACUCGCGGCUUAUCAGCUUGUUGGUGGGGUAGUGGCUUACCAAGGCUUUGACGGGUAGCAGGCCUGAGAGGGUGACCGGCCACAUUGGGACUGAGAUACGGCCCAGACUCCUACGGGAGGCAGCAGUGGGGAAUAUUGCACAAUGGGCGGAAGCCUGAUGCAGCAACGCCGCGUGCGGGAUGACGGCCUUCGGGUUGUAAACCGCUUUCGCCUGUGACGAAGCGUGAGUGACGGUAAUGGGUAAAGAAGCACCGGCUAACUACGUG
rnacentral:rRNA from 1 species